rnacentral:lncRNA from 1 species
GAUCGGAAUUGUGUUCAGCGGGGACCCUCCGAUGCUUAAAUCAGCGGGGAGUUGGUGAACACCAAUAAUGAGUAAUCGAAAUGGCAGAGUAUUAGUCCAGAAUUGUCUUACUCGUGCUGUUCAUUUACCUUCAUUUUAUAAAUGAUUCUGAUGUAACCGUCGAGCACGUGAUCCUGCUUUUUAUGGCGCUAAAUUAUCGAAUCAUAAUCAUGGAGUUAAUGAAUUGUUUAUGCCCACUAAUGAUCAUGAUAUAUAGUCGAUAAUCGUUUAUAAUGGUUAAAUGUGUUGAGGAGAUAAGCCGACUAUAUGUCGGUAAUAGUGCUAAGUCAGUAGUCCUGACGAUUCGAAUGAGCAUCGGUCGGUAACUCUAAUAUGCCGAUGGUCUUUGAUCGGAGGUUAACUGAGUUGUUCGUUGUUGGUUGAUAAUAGCCGAUUGUCAAUCGGUAAACUAAUUGUUAGUCGAAGUAAUGUGUUCAUACGGCCGAUGUAGAGUCGGAGUCGGAAGUCGGUUGAAUGGUCCCAAUAGUUACCCUCCACUUCUAAGUCCAAGGUGGUCCGACAUGUAUAUUAUCACGUGGUCUAUCACGUUGGACGAAGGGAGUCGUCACGUGUCGUCUCGAGCCUCCGACUCGGCUGCUGAUGAUAAUGACUUUUCGGAGUACGAGAGAUCUCUGGCUAUUUUGUUGUUUCAAUAGCUGUGAAAUCAUUAUUGAACCAUCGUUUCAGAAAGAUAAUUCGAUGCCGGACAAUUUGAUUCGGACUAGUAGAUCUUGGCCAUGUGUCCAAACACCAUUGGGUCGGAACUGUUCACGUAGAAAAUGGUGAGGUAGCAUGAUUAGGAGCAGGUGCGUCGAACCGUCCGACCAAUGGUCGGUCUGGAUGUUGCCACGUGUCGUCAUCUAAUGAGAUUCAGAUUUGACCGAUUUCAUCAGGACUGUUGAGGGAUCCUAUAUAUAUGAGAUCGCUUUCAGUCGGACUUUUACUUUGCAUUUGUUACCAU